UUAGAUCCAGCCGUUGGAGACUCAUAUUCAAGAGAUGAAGUUCUUAGAUGCCUCCACAUUGGUUUACUAUGUGUUCAGGAAGAUCCAAUGGAUAGACCCACAAUGGCAAACAUUGUCUUGAUGUUGAACAGCUACUCUGUUAGCCUUGCAUUGCCCCAGCAACCGGCCUUGUUUUUCCGGAGCAGGACAGAGACAUCGAUGAAAGAACUCAAAUCGGACCAAUCAGCCAGCAGGUCUGCACCAGUGUCGAUCAAUGAGAUGUCAGUCACUGAGGUUUACCCCCGUUGAACGGUGAUGUGAGUGGAAAUCUUUCCUCACAAUAGUCUCCCAGAGACCUUGAUCAUAAGAUCCUAAGCACUCCAGCGAGAUCAUUAAGGAACAAUGAGCAAACACCUUUGGCAUGGAAGGCUGUUAUAUUUAUAUACAUGUGGGUGUGGUCUUAUUAAGUUGAGGAAUAUAAGUUCUUCCUUAUCUAAAGAAAUAAUCAACAGGAAUGGUCAGAGUUUCAUUUAUCGUCAUCUUUUAUUUUACUUUUCAUGAUGUAUGAGGAGAUAUAUCCAUUUGUACAUAAUCUGCACCACUUUAUUUUUGUCGCAUUUUAGAAGUCGAGGUCAUAAACCUCACCUCCAUAAAUAUUCCUUGGCGUGACUUGCAUAGUUACUUGAUUAUAAUGAUUGGUGGUUCAUUACUGAUGGAAAGGGAAGCAACUAAGCACGGAUCCUUCCACUCGUACAAUUCCUCAUCUAUACACAAGGAUAAACGUCUCCCUCGCUCUCUCUCUCUCUCUCUUACCGAUCCAUACACAGUGAGCCGAUGCCGGCCCCACUUCAGCCAAACUCGAUAGUUGAUUACCUUUUUCCACCGGCAUCCUCUCACAUGUCUCUCUUUAUCCGAGAUCUUAGCCAUGCCCUACAAGGAGUGGAGCUAGUCAGUGACACAUGUCAGUUCGUGAUUGGUGUACAGUACAUAAGUGCUUGCCACAUCAGCCGAAGGGGAACUUUGUAACCACUUGUUACUUUCUUCUCAAGUGGAGUCCGCUUACCUUGUGCAAUUAGACCCGAUAAGUUUUCUCGUGUCACAUCGAGGGAAGUUUGAAAAAUUUGUUAGAAAGUUACAUGAUCCCAGUCCAUCGACGGUCUCUGUCACCACCGUCAUCAAUUGAAACUGAGAUUAUUAGAGCUGCAUAUAUCUGGACCCUGGUUGGUCAAGUCUCCACACUCAACAAGAGAAUGCAACUCACGCAACUGAUCUUGACAAAUGACCCUUGUGCGAGGACAAAAAGGCUACCAUUCUCACCGUUCAUCCUAUUAUCUUUCCCCACCUGAAUCAGAAUGGCACCACCAACAGCCAUUCAUUCACAAUUUUUUGGUCAACCCACGUGACAGUUUAUCUUCCAAAGUUUUGCGAUAAGUCAAGAAAGCAAAAUCAACACAAAAACUUAAAAUCCCAACACAUCUUUCUCUCUCCAUUGCAGCUCACACGGCCCUCACCUCAUUGCCGUGCCUCGCCACUAUCGGCUAUUACACAAGCUUGCCUCUAUCACAUGGGGAGGAGGGUGGUGACACUACCCAGUAAUUGAGGAAAAAAUUGUAAAAUGAGAAAAGGAAAAGAGAAAUAUGUGAAAGAAAAUGAAAAGAAAAGAAAGAGAUAAAUAGGAAGAAUAAAUUCAGACGAUUCUAUUCUUUAUGUUAAUGAGUCAUCUUCUUAAUCCAGCAAAUUGAGAAGGUCAAUUUGCACUCAUAAGGAGAAAACAUGUCAAUUAGCUCAAGUUCAGAGGAUCUAUAUACGCAACAAAAUAAACUAAUAAAAACUAGUAAGACAUCCGUGCAUGCACAGAUUUAAGAUUAUAUUUGUUAUAUUAUUUUCAAUGUAGGUUUUGAAGUGCAUCUUACCAAAAAAAAAAAAAAUAUGAACAUCUACAUCAAGCAAACUUAGAGCUUAUGUGGAGUUUCAUUUAAAGUGGAUCCGAAUCCCAUCAUACAAGCUCCGAUUAAAAGAAAAUAUGAGACGUACAAUUGUAGAAUUUUAUGGAAUCACAAUGUAAAUACAUGCAAUAAAAUAAUAAGAACAAAUAAGAAGCAUGAAAGCAUAAAUUAUGAACAUGAAUUGUCCUCUUCAGAUUUAUCAAUUUGUCGAAAUCGUCACCUUUGUCUCAUCAACUUGGUGCAGGAAAUGUGAGCAAGUUAUUUGUGUAGAAUUUUCUUGAGAGUAAAAUUUUCUCCUUUUCACCAUUCUAUUACCAAGAUAUGCAUAAGAAUUUGAGACUUGCAAAAGUAAUUAUCAAAGGCAAAUUAUCGGAUAAAGCUCCCCGUAACAAUUUUCUUUUUCCCGAGAGAACAGAACAUACUCUUCUUCUUUCGAUAAUUCUAUGCUCAGUCCCACAAGCAGAAUAAGAUCAUCGGACCAUGAAUUUUCGCUCGAUUAUCUCCCUCGCCCUCUUCUUUCUCUUUUGUCUCAUCGAUCACCGUCAUAUUACUAGAGCUACACCUGCUUAUCUACCGCAUUACUGCCAAGCACAACUUUCUUUGCUCCCAACUCCACCUACCAGUCCAACCUUAAAACCCUCCCCUCCCCUGCCACCGGCGUUGAAAAAAAUGCUUCGGAUUGAGAAGAAAAGGAAUCAUACUUUAAAGUGUGAUAACACUCUUUUAAAGAAAUUAUUUAUCUCACAACAUUGCUAAAAGUUACUGGCAAAAGUAUUUUGAGAUACAACAAAGCCUCGAAUGAGAAUUCCAAAUAGCAAUUCUAGUAUAUUUCCAAAAACUCUCAAAGGGAAAUUAUUAGAAAGAAUGCUGUAUUUUUUAAAAGAAAAUUCAACUAGACUUGAUAAUUAUCGAGACUAAAAACCAACGUAUUUAUCUUAGCUUUCUAAGCAGAAGCAACCCUUCAGAAAAUGUUGUAAAGUGAACAAAUACUUUAUUAAAAGACACAUUGGAUAAACAUAUUGAAAAAGUCUGAAUAAACAACAACAAUAAUAAUAAUUUUUUUUUUUAAAUUUCAAAUUUCAAUUUUGAAACAUACUAAUUGAACAAUAUAACCUUUCCAAGGUUGUGAGAUGCCUAAUAAAGAUUAGCAAAAUAAAAAUAAUAAUAAACAAUGAUUAAUGCUAAUUAUGAUCUGCAAGCGCGCCAAGUGCUAAGUGCACCUAAUAAUCACACAUCCACAAGUAGGUAUUGUGGGGUUUAGCUCACAUCCGAUCGUCUUCAUUUGAAUAAAUUAGAAGACAUCUACACUUAUAGAAUUGUUGACAUACUUUUAACUUUUCUAUGUGGAAUAAGGGAAAAAAAUACUAUUUAUUGUUUUAUAAACAUACAAGCAACAACUAACAACGGUGACGACUUCACCAAUGCCAUUGCUAGGGAGGACGCUCUUGACUGUGCCUUCAAGCUCUUCCCUUGUCGCGGUGAUGUCAGCGUAGUCAUGUGUAGCGAGUGCGUGGCUAUUGGAAUAAAAGACAUCCUCCGACGAUGCCUUGAUAGGAGAAUCUCCGUGAUUCGAUACGACGAGUGCAUGUUGAAGUACUUGUACCGGUCCAUUUACUCGGUAUUGGAGAUUCUACCUGGAUAUUUGAUGCUAGAGACCGGGAAAGUCGCUGAAUUAGAUCGUUUCAUGCAGCUGCUAGGAGUGAUCACGGAUGAUGUGGCGGAGAGGGCUUCGGGGAGCGAAUUGGGGAAGAAGUUUGCGGUCGCAGAGGUGAACUUCACAAGCUUGUAGAAGCUGUACACACUUGCGCAGUGCACGCUGGACUUGAUGGGGUUGGACUGUAACGCAUGCCUCUAGGCAAUGAUCGUAAGUCUAACUCGGGGAGAAGGAGGCGGCAGGUCAUUCGCUCCGAGCUGUGGAGUGAGGUUCAAGCUGUGCCCUUUUUAUAAUGCCUCGACCGUGGUGGCAAUAGCAUCACAUUUAAUCUAAACUAAUUUUUGUUUCAUAAAAACUCUCAACUGGUAUAUUCGUACUACAUUUAUCUCAAACUAAUUUUUGUGUCAUAAGAAUCCCAAACCAGUAUAUUUGGGUCACAUUUCUCCUAAACGGGUGCACUUAUGUCACAUUAAUUGCAAAAAAACCUCAUAUUUAUCACAAUUUGAGGUAAAUGUGAUAUGGGUGUACUUGUUUGGUAUACCGAUUAGGAAUUUUUUUGUAACAUGAAAAUUAAAUUAGGAUAAUGUGGCACGAAUGUAUUAAUUUGGAAGUUUUUUGCGACACAAAAUAAAUUUAUAGUAUAUGUGGCAUGGUAUACUAGUUUGUGAUUUUUUUUAUGGCAUUAGUCCAUAUUAAUAAGAUUUAUCAACAGUCAUGCACUAAGUCGUAUUUAUUUGUGAUAUAUGUGUAACCGUGUAAUUCAACCCUCAAAUGUUUAUUAUUUUCAUUGUAUUAUAACAUUAAUGACAAUGAACGAGUAUUUCCUAUGAUUUGCUAAUUACUGUUAGUACUCAUUUAUUUUAUAUAAUCUUUUGUGUGAUGAAAGAUACUUUUAAAAAAAAAAAAAUUAAACCUCUAGUUGUCAUAUAUAGACUAUCAUUUUGUAGUAGAUAUUGUUACAUUAUUCAACUCUUAGUAAGCAUUUUACUUAGCACAUAUUUAGUACUUAUUCAUAAAAUUUAUUUAUUGAAUAUGGUCUAUCAUGUUAUGUAGUUUUUGCAUCAAUUUGUUAACAUAAUCUACUCAUGAAAUAUACAAAAAAGAUAUAGACUACAAUGUUAAAAUUGAUAUUUCUACAGUGUUCAGCCCUUAGUGAGCAUCUUAUUCAGCACAAAUUUAGUACUUAUUAAUAUAAUUUAUUUGUUGAAUAUCGUCUAGGUACUUAUUUAUAUAAUUUGUUUUUUUUUAAAAAGGCUAUUAUGUCAUUCAAUCAUAUUAAUGAUUUGUUGAUAUAAUUCUCAUAAUAUGCGCUUAAAUAAUUGGUCAUAAUGUAUAUCCAUAAUUUUUUUUUUAAAUAAGUCAUCACAUGUUAAUCCUUCAUUAUGCUUGUUUUUUCAAUAUACAUAGUCAUAUGACAGAACCCUUUGAACAUAUACUUGUUUCCUUCAACAUGUAAUGAUGGGCGCCUCUGUUAUAUUUAUUUAUUUAUUUAUUUGUGAAGCAUAUUUUUGGAAAAAUUAUUUGAUCAGUCCUAAACCCAAUGUAAGAGUUCUAAUUCAAUCAUAAACUUUUCGAUUUGACCAAUUUAUUCCUAAACAUUUACCUAAAUUUCUAAUGUAGUGAUCUGGUGAAUUUUAUUUGAAAAAUAAUAACGUGGUGAUUCAAUCUUCAUCGAUCGUUGCACGUGGUAUGAUCAGCAUUUGACGAGGAAGAAUUUAAGCAAAUGUUGUCGUCUUGCAUUCUUUUUCUGAAUUGUUUUAAUUUGUUCCUUUUUCUUUCCCUUUGCUUUUCGUCGUUGUGGUAUUGUUCGACUUUUUCAGCACCUACUCUAGAAGGAAGCCAUGUCUGCAACUCUCUUCGGUCGCUCCCAACUAAGGUGCCGCGUCAACAAAGGACAAGGGACAAGCAGCGACGGGGACAGGCGAGGUCCAAAACUUGGCUUGAGGGCUCAGUGGGCCAUGGAUCCGGGUCGAUCCGAGGUCCAGACGGGUCAGCAGCAGCCUUACAUGACCGGCGGAAGCAACGGGGGCCAUUGUCGACCCUUACCUGAGUGAUGCAGAGCCACGGAGGGAUGAUUGGGGGAUUUUGCACCCCCAAAAAAAAGAAAAAUUCAGAGGUGGACAGUGGUGGACAGAAAGACCGACAUCUAAGGUUCUAGAACACACAAAAAAUCAGAGUUCUCAAGACUUCAAUCGAAAGGAUUUAAGAUGAUUGGGGGCCAUUGAUGGGCAGAAGUACAUCCUAGCACAUCGCAAGAUCCAAAGUGGACAUUCAUCUAGGGUGCAAACACAUGUUGCAGGGAGGAUACUAUGAAUUCGGGAUUACCACUUCGUUUCGCAGGGAAGAAGAAGAGCCGUGCAUGACUGAGUUCAUUGGGAGAUUACUUCGAAAAGUACGCGCGACAACCUUAUUUGCGCUCACCUGACGGACGUGACGCAACUAGAGUUAAGGAGGGGAGGUCGACGAGUCGCGUCCAUGGAUGAAGAUUAAUAAUAAAGAAGAAAAGAAUAGAAAAAAGAAAAAGAAAAGAAGAAGAAGAAGAUUGAGAUAAUAAAAUCAAAACUUAUUCGUUCCACUUACGUCCUUUUAUGUCAUUACCUAGAUGUGACAUUAAGUACUAAGAUAAGGAAAGUCUUUCAUGCACUCUGAGUAAUUAAGAAGCCAUCUCAAAUUUUAUCUUAUUUUCCUCGAAGCAUCAUUUAUUGUAUUGAUGUUCAAAUAAAUAUACACAGCUUUACUUAUCUACUACUAUGCCUUGGUGCGGGCUGACGAAGAUUUAAAAGUAUAAUAUACACAAUUACACUAUGUCAAAUAGCAAAUGGUUUAGCCAGAGGCAUGAUAAGUGAGCUCAAGAAAAAAGAUGUGGAUCUGGUGAAUUUAGUAUAUCAUGAAGCUGAUUUUUGUUUAUGCGACAAUAAUGAUCCUCAUAACUUAUGCAAUCAAAAGCGGGUCAUUGUCGCAUGUCAACACAAUCGAUGAUUGUGAUGAUCAUUCGAAUUGAGUAAAAACAAAGGCAUUGCCCUGAUCUGCUCGGACCAAUUUGUUGAUGUCUGUCAGUGACGUGUUCGUCUAGUAUGGUGAUUCGCGGAAUCUUUAUGUGAGUGACCUAUAGCAAUCUUAUUGACCUAAUAACUCCAAUUGAAAUGUAGCUUUCAAGGAGAGGGAUCGAUGUGUGCAAUACGUCAUAAUUGAAAAUGCAUGUUAAAAUUCAUAGUUGUGCUCAAGACUCGGUCGAAACAACAUCGAUUUGGUCAUUCUGAAAGAUCCAAAUACCUUCCACAGAUGGCGACAUUUAACUGAAUCGAAACAAGCAGAUGAAACUACAAAUUAUGACGCUCUCAACUCCUUUCCAUAUGUUUCAUUUUGUUUGUUGACUUGGUUCGCAGUUAAAAGGAGGCGUAUAUCUUUCUUUCGAAACUAUUUAUAAUACGUGGGGCACAUAUUGAGGCUAUCGUCGUCAAGAUGGACCGGGCUUUAUCAAUGCUAGGACUUCUCGCAAGCGCUCUUGGAAAUGAAAGAAGGUUUACUGGCCUUUUCUACUUUGAAAUGAUAAAAAAGAAAACACCGAAUGCGUUAUUCUGGUAACUUACCUAGACACUUAUCUUACAUAUUUUCUUCGCAUGCAAAAAAUGGUUUAGUUUAAACUUCUAAUAACUUAGGGUGUGAAUGAUAACCAUUUUAGCCAAAAAUUAAUUUCUGAAAGAUAAAUAAAAUUUUCUAUUUCUAAUAUUGGAUGAGUUUCUAAGUAAAAAAUAUGCAUUUGAUAAUGACACAAAAUUUUUAUUUUUUGAAAAGAAAUUCAUAAAAUUUCUCUCUUUUGGGCAAUGGUGGGUGGUGGCAAUGGUAGUGGAUGGUUGUUGGCGACCGGUGGAUGGUAGAAGGCGGUUGACAAAUGAUGAUUAAGCAAACAGUAAACGAUGGCUAGCAACUGGCAAACAACGACCAUCGGUAGUGGCGGACGGUGGUGGUAGACGGCAAUCGGCGGCGAAUGGUCGUUGGCGGUGGCAACAAGCAACGGUUGAUAGAUGGCCACCGAGCAGAUGGUGGACAGUUGGCAGUGGCGAAUGGGGGGCCAGUUAGUAGCGACGACAAACGAUGAAAAAGGUUUUUAUUUCUCAAUUUUUGUUUCAAAAAUAAAGAAGUAAAAAAAAAAAUUAGUUUUGAAUUCUAUUCCAACUUAUUUUUGGAGUAAAAAUAUUUUCCAAAAAUAGAAAAAUGAAAUAGUUUUACCAAACAAAUUUCUAUUCCAAAUAUAAGUUCAUAACGAAGAAAUAGUUCUGAAACAAAAAAUGAAAUGGUUAUCAUGCGCGCCCUUAGUAUGCAAAUAAUUUCAAUUAACUCUAUUACAAUUGUCACAUUAUAUAUUUGAUCAACACAAAAACUUCAAGAGAUUGAUAAUUUUAGGGAGAAGGAUAAUGGAGUGUUAAAAGUUGUGUACGGCGCUUACUUUAGUGUUAAAAGCUUUUUUCGAAUCACUUAAGUGUCACUUUUUUUCAAAAAUGACUGCUGAAGUGCCGACUUUGAUUUGGGUUGUUGGAAAUCUGAUAUGAAAAUAAUUUAUUAAUUUUUCAGUCCUACAUGACUUGCCGACGUGUCUCGUCAGUAUAUAAUUACUCAACGACGUCGUCAAAAAUUGUAAAUAUUGAUCGUUUGAGUGCCAAAUUUUGUUUAAAUUGAUCCUUUCACACCAAUCACUAUUAAAAAAAGAUUUUUAAGUGCCAAGCAUGACAUGUGGACUGAAUUUUUUAAAUAAUGUGCCAAGUAAUAUAAAAUUUUUAACUAUAGAAAUUACGUAUUAUUUUUGGCCAAAAUUUCUCAUUGUUGACACUUAAGUGAUAAUCUUUUAUCCGAUUUGGCACAUAAGUGAUUUGGCGAAAAAUUUUGGUACUAAAGUGAGUACCGUUCACAACUUUUGACAGUUCUAGUGUUCUUUGCUCGAUAAUUUUUUUUAUGGUGUUCUAUGUACUGAUGUUUGAAGGGUUUAACUCUUAAAUUUAUCAAAUUGUUUCAUGUUUUGAAGAGUCUAAUUAAUUGGGAACUAUAGUUUGUUUAGCAUGCAAGCAUUUUUUUUCUUUUGCAGAAAUAAUAAGAGUCUCACUUUUAGAAGACAAUGCUACUGAAUUGAGAAGAAAUUUCAAAAGAAAAAGAAAAAAGGAAGCAGUAUUUAUCCAUAAUUUACAUUUUUUUCUAUUUUUUAAAAAAUUUCUCUAACUUAAUUCACUUUGUCGUGACUUUCCUCGAGGUGAAUUAUUAGGCAAAAGCUAAUAGAUUAUUAAGAUUACAUUUAGAGCAGACUCUCCUUAGACCAUACCAAUCACAAAUUUGGGGUUUCAAUUUAAUUAAUUAAACAUGCAAAUCAAUUCAAGAUUUGUAAGUAAUUUAUUAUGGAUAGAAUAGAAACUCAAGUAAAGUGUAGGAAAACACUCUAAUUUUGCAAACAAGAGAUAUUAUGAAUAUGAAUACUUGAUUACGUUAGAUAAAUCUAAUGCCAAUUUGAUACUUUUCUCUUUAUUUCAAAAAUAUUUUGCAAGCAAUUUAGGUAAAUUAUGAGCCUAAACUACUGAUCAUGCAAGUACACAAUCAAUAAUGUAACACUCAACAAAUCAAAGCAGUAAAUAAAUUGCUAAAAAUAGGGCGGACUUCAAUGCAAUAAGCAAAGCAUUACUCCACUAUGAUUAAUGUUCCAAUAUUUCAAGGUAUUAAUUUUUAAAAAAAAUGCAUGCAUAGCCUAAGCAUGUUUCUGAAUGCAAUGACAUUUAAUUCUUUUUGGGUUUUUCUUCUUAUGGAUGCAAUUUUAAUCUAAAUUAUAUCUAUGUAAAUUAUAAUGUAAAUUAAUGACACGCAACACGAACUUUAAUAUAAUCUAUAUGCAACCUAAUUCUAAUAUGAUGCACAAUCUAAUUUAUAUGAACUUAAACAUGCAAUAACUAAAUGACAUUGAUAUGUUGACGUGACAAUGAUCAUUUGGUAAUGAUACAACUAAUUCUAUAUGAUAUACGCAUGUUCUUUUUUGUGAUUUUCUAGAAAUUAACUGAAUAUGCAAUCACCUAAUUUAAAUUAGGAAACAAUUUACAUUAAAUUCUAUUCUAAAUUAGGUACUUUCCUAAAAAGUACUACAUGACUCCUAGAUAUGCAAUUCUAAUCUAGGAAACUAAUAUGAAUGCAAACUAUCCUAAAUGCAAUGUAAUUUUUAUGUUUCUCAAAAUAGGAAAGUUUCCAAAAUUAAUAACACGCAAUACAUAAACCCACGUAAUUAAAUGUUUACCACAUUUAAAUAGGAAACAAGGAUAAUUUGGGUUUCGAUCAUAGAUUUUAAAGAUCGAAACUUCAAUCAUCAAGUAUAAAAUCCAAUAUAUCAAACUAACGAUUUCCUAUACAGGGGACGCCUAAAACAUGCACCAAAUUGAGUUAUAAUCGAAAUAAUUCAAAUUAGGUAACCAGAUAUUCAAAGUGAAUGAGCAAACUUGGAACUUACCUAAAUUGGAUUACCAUCUCAAAGGACGACCAAUAGCGAGGGGGUCGGAAGGAAGACUUGCUGUGGCGAUAACUAGCGAGAAACAGUAAGAGGCGCGAACAGCAACAUCAAGGACUGUGAACAUCACGAGGGGAUCUUUAGAUCUUUGAUGCUCGAUUCCUUUGGUAAAGUUGAAGAACUAAGUGUCAUGGAUGUUUUCUUAAAAUUUCAACACAUUCCAACUUAGAACGAAUGUAUAAUCACCGUUCUCGCAAGACCACGAGUUGCGCUCUCACAAGUCUGACUGAUUGGGUUUUCUCCAUAAAAGACAUACUUCCAAAUAUUUUCUUGUCAAUCCAACCGGAAUAACUCAAUAACGAUGUCUUGUUGUACUAUCUAUAAAAUUUGAGCGCGAUCCAAUGAUUAAUGACUACAUACUUGUUGAUUUCAUGAAACUGUGUGCUGGAAUUUUUCUAGGGGACCGCGAGAGAGAGCUCAUGUGUGUAUGCUCUUUUAUUUUCUAUUUUUUUUCCCAUGUCUCUUAUGUCCUUUUUUCUUUUCUAAUGUCUAUUGCCAAUUUCAAGUGUCUCCGAAAACUCUAAUUUUCUGAACCUUUAAAGUACCUUUGCCACAUUUAUAUAGUCUAGAGUUUCAUGCCUUCCUCAGGAAUCAAUAAUGAACAAUCAACAAGCACCUGUUUUUCGAAAAUAGGCUGCUAGUUGCCAUGGGAUCAUAUGAAUGAAGUACACACACAGGGACUUCUCCUAUUAAGAAACAAACAUGACUACACCGAAUUAUCAGAUCCAUCACUUGUGUAAAGGAUAUUUGCAUUCACCGUUAGAUGACUAACACAAUCACAAGAAUUUGCUUUGACACCGAAUGACGCUGGAUGUCACACAUAGUAGUAAACAUCUAGUAACGCGCUGCUAUCUAGCCGUGGCAACGUCAAGUGCAUUCAUAUUUCCGUUUAGCCAUAAUGAGAAAAUAAAACGGCGAGGACAUGAGGACAUAUAAAAGCAUGAUUAUUCAUAGACAUUGUGUCUUGACCUCCACUUUGCACGAGCAUAAUUCCUAGAUUAGCAUGACUUUGGGGUAUGCUAGCAUUAAUUUAAAAUCUAUACCGGUAGUAUAACUGCUGAGCCUAAUCCAUCAUAGUUUCUAUCCUUCAAAGUGUGUAGUAGUUAUUAUUAUCAUAAUUGUUUCACAACUUAAGUAUUUGAGUAAAGGUGGAUCUAAGUGAAUAUGUGAUUGAUUGGCUUGGAAUUUGCCAUUCUCAUGAUGAUAUCUCUGUAUAUUCAGAGAAAGAGCUUAAACCGGAUAAAAGAAAAAGCUAUCAACGGAUUUUGUCAACUCCGUUUUGUCAAUCCCAUUUUUCAUUUAUUUUACGCCAGCCUAAUAGGUUACAAACUCAAAAAGGAGCCGAAACAUCAUUUAAAGUAGAGCUUGCAACAUCGAGAAUCGCCCGGAUUCGACUAUUUGCGAAAUUGCCCCUGAAGCAAAAUCCUACCUUGGUCCUCCAUGUUUCUCUCCUCGCCAGAAAGUCCAUCUACAGUUUCCAGAAGUCACUCUCAAUUAGCUGGGUUCUCUGUGCACCGGGGUGAUCUUUGAUGCUCAUUCAGGAACCAAAUCAGACUGAACCGGACCGUUGCAAUUGAGUGAGCGACAGGUCGUCGCAAAAGGGGUUUUCUACUAGAAACCCAAUAACUUCCGUUCGCAGCCGUGAUUGCAGUCAGGCGUGGGUGGGAUCUAUUUAUCUAACUAAUUAAUUAAGAUACGAGGGGUCUACAAAUUACACAUCCAUCGUAAAGUUAUACAAGACUUUUCGAUGGAGACAUGGCGGGCAAGUGCAUGAAACCUGUAGAAUGGACAAAACUUAUGGGACGGCAAUUCGAACAUUAUUGCUCCUAUGGUUCCGUGACGGUCUCGCUAAGCCAAUACCACUAAGUCUUGCUUCCCCGUCGCCAUCUCUCUUUUCUUCUUCCUUAAUCUUCUCUGCGUUUAUGCUCAAAGUUCUGAAGCAGCAGCUACAUAUCUGAUUCUAUGUUCUCUUUUCUUCUUCUCCUACAAAUGAAAAUCUCCGACACUGCAUCCAGCAAAACCCCUUCAAGCACCGAAAAACACCAGAAAGUAAUAUGACUUCCUCAUCAUCCACUCUUUAUUUCCUCAUUUUGCUGACUGUUCUGAUCUGGACCUACCCAUCCCAUGCACAAUAUUGCUUCGACACCACUGAAACUGUUGGGAAAAUAUAACUUCGAAUUGGGUAGAACAAUGAAGUUGAAUCUUUAGUUUUUUUUUUUUUUUACCAAAAAAAAAAUUCUAGUAUUUUUCCAAAGUUCCUCUAGAAAAUAAUUGAAAGAAUGGCUGUAGUUUUUAGAAUGAAUGCUCGAAAAGAUAAAAAAAUAAUCACACACUCGUUAUUCCAAAAACUAAUGUGUAUAUAUAUAUAAAACAGUCUUAAAACAUAGGUAACUCUUCAUGAAAAAUUGCAAAAAAUGAAUAAAUGUGUCCUUUUGAAAAUUGCUCAAAUGAACAAAGAUGUCCAUUCGGAAGAUGUUCAUUCGGAAGAAGUUGAAAAAAAGAACAAAUACAACCCUUCAGAAAAAAUUGCAAACCGAACAAGUAUUUUUUCUAAAGGUUGGCUUGAAAAGAUACAAACAAAAAUUCGGAAUAAUUAAAUAUUUUUUAAAAUAAAAUUUCGAAUUUUUUUUAAAUAAUUUCCGAAAAUUCUCAUAAACAAAAACAACCUUUGAUUAAAAUUAAUAAGAUAGCCGUAAGAAAAAUAAAUAAAUAAAUAACAAAAGGGUUAGUGAUAAUUAAACCAUAGGGGUGCAUAGCCAAAUAAUCGAGCAUCCGCACGCGGAUAUGGUGAGGUCUAGCCCACAUCUAAGCAUUCCUUUUGAUACAUAAAAGAAACACCACACUUAUUAAUUGAUCCACUUCCUUUCACUUUUCCUACGUGGGAUAAGAAAACAUAUACUUAGUUUGCUUUUACAAACAAACUUCCAACAGAAACUUCACAUCAAACUGCACCUACGCGAAGAACCACGACAAGGUCCUCAGCUCUCUCUCCAACGUAGCUGCACAUGAUGGGUUCUAUAACACGAGCACGGGCGAGAAUCCAAACACCGUCUACGCCAUCGCUUACUGCCAAGGCUUACUGCCAAGGCUUACUGCUGAGGUGAUACAUGGGCAGAUACCUGCGUGAUCUGCGUGAUGUCUGCAGUCGAAAAUUGGUCGUGAAGUGCCCUAACCAGAAGGCGGCUUUCUCUUGGGGAACCGGAGACCCACCAUGCCUUAUCCAAUACUCGGACACUGCAAUCCACGGCGUACUGCAAGCGUAUCCUACACUUCCAUUUUACCGGGUUUGGCAACCUCACCAUGAACCAUGCGAUAUGGUGGAACUUGACACUACGACUUUUGAACGAUGCCGCAGAUGGCUCUUCGAAGCGCAAGUUUGCGACUGGGCAGGCUGACUUACUGUACAACAGUAGUACAAUCUACUCGUUGUUACAGCGUAGUCCUGACUUGUCGCCCACCGAUUGCAGGAGUUGCUUGUACGAAGCCAUCGAUGAUUACCGAGAAGUGUUGCAGCGGAAGCCUAGGACGAGGCUUUGUUUGUAAGCGAAGCUGUAUUUUCCGAUGGGAUUUGUACCUGUUUUAUGCGUCGAGCGCCAGUCCGCCGUCUUCUCCACCACCUCCAGUGCCGGUUCCUGGUGGAAAUAUCGAGAAAGGUACGGUGCAUUUGAGCUCAAGGAAAAGCUAAAACCGCUUGAUAUGACGAGACCGAGACUGCUGAGUUUUUGUUCUUUUUUUUUUAUAAGUAAAAAUUCCAGAGUAGCUAGCUAUUCUUGAAACUGGAGUUUAGAUUUUCAAUUUGUUCAAUCCUCCAUCAACUUUCCAUUAUAAAGUCAAGAUUUUUCAUAAUUACAUUAUUGUUUGGAUUUUGGAAUAUUUUUUCAUGUGAGUCUAUUUCCUGAAUCAACAAAAAAAGAAAGUCCUUUUUUACUACUCUAAAUGAUGUUGUAUUUAUCCUAUUAUAAGGAUCAUAAGUUAAAAUAUACUUAAACGGAACUAUAUUAAUAUUUAUAAAACCAAAAAUGUAUAAUUGUAAUAAAAGGAAAUUAUAUUUAUCUUUUAUUAAAAAAAAGUGGAUUGAAACUAAAGAUACUAUAAUAUCUAGACAAUAAUUUGAUUAUAAAACCUUGUGAAUAGUAUCAAAGGGCUGAUUUGACUCAUGAAAAGUGAAGGACUAAAUUGAACACAUUGUAAGCUCAUGGACUAUAUUGAAAAUUUAGAAGCAGCUAAAAGAUUAUAUUAAAAAAAUUAUAACUCCAAGGAUAAUAUUGGACAUUGAGCCAAAAUUUGAAGGCAUAUUUGAGCCAUUUUUUUCAAAAAAGUUAGAAAUGUGGGAAAAAAAAAGUCAUAAACGCUGCAACAGUAGUCCAAAUUUCCAAAACAGCUAAGAAAGUGGCCCCAUAACACAAGUCUCUUCAUUUAAACUGCCACACGGCAAUAUGUUUUGAAAAAGAAAGUCUCAUGAGCUUAUUAGCUCUCCGAAAGCACUAAAUCUUGACCAGCGAAGGCAAAACUCCAAUCGUCACAUCGACGAGAGUUACAUUGUCGACGAGAUAUCUAAUGAGUUACAAUAGCCGAUGAGUUUGGACCAUAGACAAAACUGGCUAGCCCUUGUAUGGGUAUGGAAGAAUUAAUGGAGAUGUGCUGGAUGUAUUUAUGGUCGUGGUGCGCAAAUCUAGUUAGGAAAGAAGUAUAAUGAAGAAGAUGAACAAGUUGUCAGAAAAAAAAUUGUAAGACAAAUUGUCGAACUUAAAUCAGCCAAACAAGAAAUACCCUGUAGGAAACAUAUGCCAAAAGGUUGUGCUUGAAACAACAAGGCCGUUUAUGAAAACAAAAUUGUCCAAUCACUUUUGAACUUGUUGUACAGAUGUCAAUUCUCUUCUAAAAUUUCUAAUUUUGUCAAUUUAGUCACGAAUCUUAGAGUAAUAUAUUAAUAUAAUUAUUUAGGUCACUUUUUGCUGGAAAUUGUUGUCUUGGCAAUGAAUCACAUAGAACAGCUAACAAUGAAUGGACCGCCAUGUCAAACUGCAUGUCAAAUUACCAAUCUUGAUGCCUCAAUCUUAGGUCAUAAUUCAACCUAGUGAAGCAGAGUGUUAAAAUGUUUAAAUAUUAAAUACGCUUUCAUCUAAAAAAUUUUCAAAUUAGUUUGGCAUUGUCUCAUACACGUAAUGACAUGUGUGCAGGAAAUAACUACAAAGCAAGAAAAAGCAACAAAUUUACUGUGAUAACCAUCGCAAUUAUAGUUCCUAUUGGAGUCGUUAUGACACCUCUCUUUCUCACUUGUUGUUUGCUUUGAAGAGAGGGAAAGAAGACAUAUGAAGUCGUCCAAGGAAAGAGUGGUAAAUCGACUAUCUGCCUUUAUUAUUUCGUAAACUAUCUGUGUCUGAGCAUAUUAUGAAACUUUCUUAACUUUUUUUUUUUUUUUUAAGGAAUCAGAUAUGUUAUCCAUACAAAUUGGGAGUCCAUUUGACAUAAAUAUGGCAUAUAUAAUGGAAAAGAUCAAGGACAAAUAACCAAUUAACCAUGACAAUUUUUGUAAUAAAAUAUUGUUACUUUUCUUUCUUAUUAUGAUAAACUUGAUUUUUACCCAAAAUAUAAAAAUGAACUAGUGGAAGAGGCCCGUUCGGAUCUGAUCCGCCCUAGUUUUGAUCACCCCUUCAUACGACAGCCACCUGCAGAAAACAAUGAACAACAAUCAAGAUUCAAAAUAGUCUUCCAUAAAUGGAAGAUUACAAUUCUUCAUGCUCUUUCAACGUUCAAAACUAUACUCGACUGCACAAGCAAUAAUAAUGCCAUCAAUAGAAGGAAUACUUUGGGAAAGUAACAGCUCAUUUCUGGCAUUCAGACAAAAUAAUGCAGCAGUUCUACAAAUAUUUCACCAAACACCUAUGAAAAUCUCUCCAUUUCAUAGCUUGCUGCAUCAGGACAAUUCAAAUUCCCAAACACCAAUAUCAUUAGGAAAACAAAGCUGAAGAACACUCUUCCAGACUUGCUUACAGAAACUGCAUCCAAAGAAUAAAUAGGAUCUAAUCUCAGUUGUUUCUUGACACAAAAAAUAGGGAGUGGCCAUGAUUAGAAGACUAUCUAUCAAUUCCUUGAAAUAUAGGCAGCUUAUCUUGUAUCGCCAACCAAAAUAUGAAUACAAACCUUAGCAAAUUAGAUGAAAUCAAAUCAAUAGAUACCAUUCAACUCUUGUGACUCUUUUCCUCACAUCCUCCCAUGCUGAAGCAGAGGUAAAAAUGUCGCAAGAAGCAGUAGUGCAUCUUGUCUUCCGAAGAAGACUUCUAAAAAAUUACACUACAAACAUCUACCUGGAUUGAUACCAAAUCUUCAUACUUCACAUUGGGCCUUUUUCCAUUCAAAGCGAAAAUUAUGUCAGCUGCUUUUGCAGUCCAGAGAAGAGCGGCAUCUUAAACUACUCUCCUUGGUUAUAGAUCCAGCAAUAUCCCAUUAGGAUGCCAUGAGACAUGCCACUAGGGUAUAGAUUUGACAUGACCAACCACAUAAGGAGGCCUCAAAAUACUCCCAACCUUUAGCAAUUCUCUCCAACCAUAGGUAGCAUCUGCACCGCAUUUAACAGACCUUACACUACUCUCAGCAUGAAGAAGUGACUAAGAUAAAAGAUACAUCCGAUUACUUUGUUCCCUGUAGUAUUUAUGGUUUUCCUUUAUUUUUUAUGACCACUCAAGAGAGGAAAGAUUUCUUUGGGGGUAGGGGGACUAUCGUACUGGUCCCAUCCGAUGGUCUUCAUUGGGAUAAUGUUCCCAAGUACUAGCAACAAUAUAAAUACCACCACGAGCCAAAUUGAUGUAAUCUCAAAAUUAGUAUAAACACCACUGCGAGCCAAAUCGUCGUAUUCUCAUAAUCAAAUUAUGUUUUUUGGUAAUGCAGGUGCAAACGAACUUACUACUGUGGAGCCUUGCAAUUUGAGUUGGCUACAAUACAAGCUGGGGCAAAUGAUUUCUCUCCUGAAAACAAGUUGGGUGAUGGUGGAUUUGGUGGAGUAUUAGUUAGAAACAAUAAAAAAUGCCUUAUAUGUGAAUUGAACGUGAUGGUGCCAGAAAAGAAACAAACAUGUAACAUUUUUUAUGUUAGUUUUUAAGAAGUUCUGACAAGGAAUAAAAUGAUAAAUGCAACAAACUUUAGGGAAGACCUCCUAAUGGACAACAAAUUGCGGUGAAGAGGCUAUCUCAAAGCUCAAGACAGAGUGUUCAAGAAUAAAGUCCUAUUAGUUGUGAAGCUUCAACAUAGAAACUUUGUACAGCUGCUCGGAUUUUUGCUUGGGGGGAGAUGAAAAGCUGAUGGCCUCCGAGUUUCUGCCAAGUAAUAGUCUUAAUUACUUCUUAUUUGAUAUGUUGCUAUUUGACCUUCUUAAGUGGAGAAUGUGUAAUUUGUUUGAAAUCAAAAAGUUUGAGCUUGCACUUGUUGCGGAAACCUUGAAAUUAUCGGUUUUCUAUUCUUUCAACUGACUACAGUUUUUUGUUAAGUUACCAUGUGUAUGAUCAACCAUCAAGUUUUAUCAAACGACAACUACAACUAAUGCUGGCCAACAAUAUAUAGCCAGAAAAUUUCUCACAACCUUUUCCUAGAAAACCUUAAUUUGGCCGGGCAGCUUCAACUUCUUAUAAACUCCAUUCACAUGGAAAGAUCAACUUUAAUUAUUGGUUGCUUGUACAGUCAGUCCACUUUUAGAUCUAGCCGUCCCCAGAAAUACAUACAUGCACCUGCAAAGAGCGAGUGUGGACCAUCAUCCUCCUGGCAAAUUAGGUUCUCAAUUUAAGUCUUUAGUAAUUAUAUGUCAUUGUCUUAUAAAACUUUAGGUAGAUUCCAUUUAAUUAUUAGUGUAUUAGAGAUGUAUUUUAUCUAGCUAUCUACGUAAGUUCCUACAUUUAACAAAUAUAUGCCUUCCAUUCUAAGUACAGAGAUUCUGCCCAAAAAAAAAAAAAAGUACAGAGAUUAAAUCCAAUAAUGUCAGGAUUUCUUUUUUUCAAUACAAAAGUCGUUGAUCUCCUUAUAAAUAACUAAUUAUUUAUGGGUUUAUCGACAAAUAACCGAGGUCAUGAGAUGACAGCGGGCUUAUGUAGCUAUAUAUCUAUUAUGUCAAGGAAAAAGGGGGUUGCUCCUUCUGAUUUUUAUUUUUUUAUCAACAAAAAAACUAUCUACAUACAACACUUUAAUUAUGUCAAUUUUGAUGAAAUCUAUUAUCAAUUGAAGAACUUGUAUAUGAUGGAGAAGGACGAAAAUACUAAAUUAUCAACAAAAUUGGUAGUCAAAUACCCAACAACUCAACAAAAUAUUUUAAGUGGAGUAAAGUCCAAUCUGUCCUUGUUUGCAAAUUACUAAUGUCUGCAUCCUUAUCCUUAACUUAUCUUUCCUAGUCUCCGCCUAAGGUUAAGGACGAAACAGUUCAAACUCACUUUCAUGUCAUUCAGCUUUCAAGAACCCAUGGCCACUUAACUAGAAUUACGUCCAAUUCAAUCCAUGAUGUGAGUCACGUGACCAUUAAUAUCGACACUCACGUGAAGAAGAUUACUCGAUAAAGUCAAUAUCAAAUUCGAGAACUUUCUCGAGAUCUUACCCCCUUGCAAAUCCAACCCUUCGUUAGACUUCUAGAAUGGCAAUGGAAUAGGAAUGAAUGAACUUAUCCACCGAGGAGGUGAUAGUGUCUCCAGAUAAUACAUGUGGAUUUUAUCUAAUUUGUGAGAAGAGCAUUCGAAAGAAAUGAUAUAAUUUGGCAUUGAAAAUUGCAAUACUAAAUGUGCCCGAGUGAGAAUACUUAUCAAUGUAAGGCUAGUAUAUGAAGGAUAAAAGAGAGUAAUAUCUAAAGUGAAUUAGAUUAUAGCGUUAUACAGUGAUCUAAUAAAAAAAAAAAGAUCAAUCGCAUUGUACCUCCAAAAUAAAUAGGUGUAAUUCGAGCAAAACGUUUGAGAGGGUUUGAUCAUUCCUUACACCGAUUGAUCGUUGCAUCGAAUUGCACAAAUCAAUUUUGAUAUUGCAAAGGUGUUGCUAUUAUUACCGUAAUUUUUGUGGAAAAUCCAAAGCUAUGACCGCCAGAGAAAAUGAGGGCCACCAAAAUCACUUCCAUUCCAUCUCUCUCUUUCUCUCUCUACAAUGACGUCACUGGGAUACAUGUUUUGACUUUUCUUCCUUCCAGUCUCCACGUGGACCCAAUUAGAACGCAAUUCACGCAAUUGACUUUGGUCAACGCCCUCGUACGAGGGGAAAUGAUAUCUUCCAUCCUCACCGUCCAUCUUACGCCUCUCCCCAACCAAGUCACCCCAACUCCUGUCGCUUUAACACAAAGGAAUGGGACUUUAGUGCUCUUUUGACUUUAAGGAAAAUCUCCCACCGUUUUCCUUGACUUGGUCAAAAAUUGGACCUUACGGAAACUAAGGUAUGAAUAUUAUAUGUUUUAGAACUAUAAAAUAUGUCGCAUAGGAGACCACCGGCCGUGGUGGCUCAUACGAGUAGACUUUAGUGAUCCUUCGUAAGAGAGGUGAGGAGUUCGAAGUCCUUGCAAUGCAAGGAGGCCGAAAGAGUUAUUUGGUGACUUAAGAAUGACGCCGUGGUAGUGGGUCCUGUGCUAGCAUCACCGGGAGGUUGUUGGUUACAAACUGGUUCCUCUUGCCCAAAAAGGAAAAAAAAAAUGUCGCAUGUUCACAAUUCCAAAUUGUAGACGUUCAUAACUUGGACCUUGAAUUUCAACAUGCAAUAAUCCGACUUGUAUUGAAUUUUCCUAAAAGAAAAUCUGAUGCUUCACCUUCCAAGCUUUCAACGGUGUUGUUGAACCUAAUCUGCAUUGCGUUUUUCCUAUUAAAAAAAAAUAUGUGAUCAUAAAAUUGCUUAGAUUUGACUUUGGUGACCGUAGUCUAAUAAAUCAUCCAUAUGACCAAACAUCCAUCAUUUGCAUGUUGAUGUAUAAACGACAUGAUACAUGAGAAAAUUAUUGUAUAUACUUAGCCUGAUUGAUAGUUUAAAUUGAUCACAUACUAAGAAACAAUGAAACAACAAGCCCUCCAUGGAAAAACAAACGCGAGUUCUCACUAUAUGCCAUUAAUUAAAACGACCCUAUAUAUUUCGAUAAUUUUUUUUAUAUUUUUAGCAAUGCAUUAAGGUCAACAAAAUUUGUGGUAGGACAAUGUGCAGGUCGUUUGCUUAAUACCCGUUAAGAUUCCAACACAAGCAGGACCUUGCUUACAUUUGUAGCCACUGGAUCCCACCAUUUGAACAUAAAUAAUAAAGACAAAAGAUUGGAAAUCCGAGGCGUGUAAACAUUAAACGUGCGGCGGAGCCUAAAUCCCAUAUUUUAGAUUAUUUUCGCCGAUGCACCUAGCAUUAUUCUUAUUAUAAUUAUUUACCAGAUCAGACGGUCUAGAUUCAUUUUAAUGAACGUGCUAAAUUCUCCCAAUACUUUCUGAAAGAAUAUUUGGUACUCGUCUUGUCAUGUGUGCCAGCCUAGCAAACAAGAAAGAUCUUGAAACGCGAUCGAUCCGUAUCGCAUGCGGCACCCAAAUUUCUCUCUGUGCUCUCCUCUCUCUCUCUCUCCUUGCUGCACGCUCUCUCUCUUCUGCCUCCGGUCUGCGCGCGCUCUGGGGAGAGGAGAGAGAGAGCGUGAAGGUGAGGCAGAAGUGAGAAAGCGCGUGGAGAGAGGAGAGAGUAGAGGAGAGGAGAGUUUUUAAAUUAGCCUGACACUGGUCCCUGUGGACACGUGUCGCCAUCUCAUAACCCUCCUAUUUAUAAUAUAUUCUCAUAGUUUCCACAACAAAAAUACAUAGGAGGGCAGACAACCCUCUUCUCCUUCCCAUAAUUCCCAGCCCCCUGCCGCAAAGCCAAGGGAGUCAUCAACCCGAAAAUGAGUUCUUGCUUCUCCCUCUCCCUCUCCCUCUCCCUCUCCCUCCUCUUCUUCUUCAUCAAUUUUUCGGGUACAGAAUCUGCACCUACUUAUCUAUGGCAUUACUGCAACGCCACCCUCUACUCUACCAACUCCACCUACCAAUCCAACCUCAACACCCUGCUCUCUAACCUCUCCGCCGCUGCCGCUGCCACCAACAACACCGACGGCUUCGCCAACGCCACCGCCGGCCAAAACCCUCCCGAUCGGGCCUACGGGCUCUUCCUCUGCCGCGGAGACGUCAGCACCGCCACGUGCAGCGAGUGCGUGACCACCGGAACACAGGAUAUCCUCCAAAGAUGCCCCAACCAGCGAGUCUCUACGAUCUGGUACGACGAAUGCAUGCUGAGGUACUCCAACCGGUCCAUCUACGGGGUCAUGGAACAAGUACCUGGUCUCACGAUGUACAACACCGGGAACAUCUCCGACCCAACCCGGUUCGUGCAAGUCCUGGGACAGACCACGGACGACGUCGCCACAAAGGCGUCCGACGGUGGGUCAGUGAAAAAAGUCGCGGUCGAGGAGGCGAAUUUCACGAGCUUGCAGAAGCUGUACACCCUUGCGCAGUGCACGCCGGACUUGACUGCGUCGGACUGCAACACAUGCCUUCGCGCGGCGAUUGCGGGCCUUCCCCAGGACAAGCAAGGUGGGAGGACGCUCAAUCCGAGCUGCAGCGUGAGGUUUGAGCUAUACCCCUUUUACAAUGCCUCGGCUUUGGCGGCACCGGCCCCUCCGCCAUCCCAGGUUCCGUCUCCUCCUCCUGCCCCUAAAGGUACGCGUUUGUUUAUUAUUAUUUGUCUUCCUCUAUGCUAGAAACAUCUAUUGCAUUUAUUCAUUUGGCAACUACUGAUGCUACUUGAUAGUCUAAUUUUUUUUUUUUUUUUUUUUUGGUAAAAGUAAGAUCUUGAUAGUCUAAAUUCUUCGAUUGUACUUCUUUAACAAAAAUAAACUAUGAAGUGCUGUCAAUGAUUCAUACACAGCGGUCAAUGUACUUCUAGGGGCUUUUCAGAGUCUCAUUCUCUUUCGCUGUACUCUUAAUAAUUUGAUUGACGAUGUAGAUUUUUCAUUUUUUUUCCUCUGGUUUGUAAGUUCUACUUCGUUUCAUUUUUCUUUUGGAAUUAAGUCUAAUUUUGACUUUUUUAGCACGAACUUCUAAAAUAUAUUUGAUACAAGUACUGAUAUUUCAAAUUAUAUAUAAUUUCCAUAAUCUUCCCAAGCUUAAAAGUGUUCUUUUGCAUCUUCAACUUUGAAGGAAAAUUAUGAGUGGAAGGAAAUAAAUAACUUUUGAUUCCACACAGAUAAGCUAUCCAUUAAACACCUACGCAUGUUUUUGUUCUUACCCUUUUUAAUUUCUCUUUAUUUCUAGCAUACUUGUUAUUAGAGUCAAAUGUAAUUUUUUUUUUCCUAAGUCUCCUCUUUUAGCUUUGAAUCAAGAUCUUGAUUUGGAAGGUAUUGUCUUGUCUAUCCAUCCUAUUAAUCAUGAAGCAUUAAUUAUCAUAAAUCUUUUUCUGUCAAGGAAAAAUAUAUGGAUAACAUAUGUACUGAGUAAUUGGUUAGAUGAAAGAAAACAUUAUCUUCGAUUACAUAAAAUCCUCUGGUCUUGUGGUCCUGUCUUGUGGUCCUGUCUUUUUUUUUUUUGAGUGAUGAGUUAGGUGUUGUUGUAAAUUUUUGUUAAAGAAACUGUUGAGCGGCUGUGUUGAAGAUAUUAUUAAUAAGUGCCAAAAGUUAUAGAAAUAAUUACGUCAUCGACGUCAUUCGUUCCAUAAAGUCAAGAUGGUGGGUCACAGGCAAUUAUUUGUCUCAAUGUCAUACCAGUUGAACACGGUGGGUUCUACGUCCACUUUAGAGAUUAGAUUCUUUACAUAACAAUUGGUUAAAGGUGGUUUUAACCAAUUAAUUGUUAAUCCCCUAUAAACAAUUGGUGCACUCACAUGGGAACUAGGAAAAGAAUGGAUUUUGUAAGAUGGACAGAUUAUAAAUUACAGCUUAAUUUCUUCUGGACAUUUGCUCUUUAAGCGCACUUUUUAUUUUUGUUUUUCUCUGUUGUUUAUGUUUCCUCUAGCCUAUAGUAGCAGUUCCAGUUUCUAAAAUUUCGUAGUCAUAAACACAUACUGAUGCUAUUAAGAUUUUGAUGCACAUAUGUAGGCAAAAGCAAUAAAACUACUGUGAUAAUCAUUGCCGUCGCUGUUCCUGUUGGCGUGGGCGUGGUGCUUCUCUUCCUCGCUUGUUGUUUGAGGCGGAGGAAAGUGACCAAGCCGUACGAAGUCGUCCAAGAAGAUCAAAGCAGUAUGAAAUACGUACCUAUGCUGUAUAGUUGGAUAGAAUGACGAAACUGUAUGCGCGGGAUAUACUGUUCAAUGCUUUCAGUGAAAUGACCAUCUUAUGUUGUUUUGUUGUGUAGGCGUAAAUGACAUUGCAAACGCCGAGUCCUUGCAGUAUGAUUUUGCCACCAUACAGGCCGCCACAGACAAUUUCUCUCACCAAAACAAGUUGGGUGAGGGUGGAUUCGGGGAAGUUUUCCAGGUAUGGUUAGUUGGAAAGUAGAUUGAGAAUGGCUUAAAUGCACUUGAAAGAUCUUUAGUGUGAAAAGAUUUGAAGAUUUUUGAUUUGGUAAUUUUGAAAGGUUGUCAUCAGGAGCUAUUCAUGUGUACUUAGAGAUCAAAAUGCUCAUUUUUCAGGGUAGGCUUAAUAAUGGACACCAAAUAGCUGUGAAGAGACUAUCUCAAGGCUCGGGACAAGGUGUUGGAGAAUUUAAGAACGAAGUUCUACUGGUAGCGAAGCUUCAACAUCGGAACCUUGUGCGGAUGCUUGGGUUCUGCUUGGAGGGUGAAGAAAAACUGCUUGUCUAUGAGUUUGUGCCGAACAAAAGUCUCGACUACUUUUUAUUUGGUACGUUACAUUUCAAUUUAUUCCAAAGCUAUUGCUUUUCCUGUUGAGGGAGCAUUUGAGUAGCCACCAGUUACGUUGAAUGUUUCCAUAGCUUUUGGAGCCUAGAGUUAGUUCGCAUAAAAUCUAUUUAAGAGGAUUUAUUAAGCAAAGAUACCCACACUUGAAUUGUGCAUACAUGUAGAUCCUGAAAAGAGCAAGCAAUUGGAUUGGUCGAGACGUUACAAGAUAGUAUGUGGGAUUGCUCGAGGAAUGCUCUAUUUACAUGAGGACUCUCGACUUCGGAUCAUUCAUCGGGAUCUAAAAGCAAGCAAUAUCUUGUUGGAUAGUGAAAUGAUUCCAAAGAUUUCAGAUUUUGGCAUGGCAAGAAUUGUUGUAGUGGAUCAAACACAAGCAAAUACCAAUAAAAUUGUGGGGACUUUGUAAGUAUUGCUAAACUUUGUUCUCUACUUUUUAUGCUCAUGUAUACUUAUAUUGCUAAUGCAUUACAUUUUGCAGUGGUUAUAUGUCACCUGAGUAUGCAAUGCAUGGGCAGUUCUCUGUGAAGUCCGAUGUAUAUAGUUUCGGUGUUCUACUUCUUGAGCUCAUUAGUGGUAAGAAGAAUAGUUUCUUCUACCAAUCAGACGGGGGCGAAGAUCUCGCUAGCCAUGUAAGUUGCAGAAAUUGACUAUAACUAAAUGAAAUUGUUAAACAAAGCAGAGUUGACAUAUUGAAAUUUUUUUUCUCAAUGAACUAUUUUUUAGGUCUGGAAAAAUUGGAGAGACGGUACGCCAUUGGAAGUGUUAGAUCUAGCCGUUGGAGACUCGUAUUCAAGAGAUGAAGUUCUUAGAUGCCUCCACAUUGGUUUACUAUGUGUUCAGGAAGAUCCAAUGGAUAGACCCACAAUGGCAAACAUAGUCUUGAUGUUGAACAGCUACUCUGUUAGUCUUGCACUGCCCCAACAACCAGCCUUCUUUCUCCGGAGCAGGACAGAGACAUUGAUGAAAGAGCUCGAAUCAGACCAAUCUGCCAGCAGGUCUACACCAGUGUCGAUCAAUGAGAUGUCAGUCACCGAAGUUUACCCCCGUUGAACGGUGAUGUGAGUAGAAAUCUUUCCUCACGAUAGUCACCAAAAGACCUUGGUCAUAAGAUCUAUAGCAGUUCAGCGAGAUCAAUUAUGAACAAUGAGCAAACACCUUUGGCAUGGGAGGCUGUUUAUAUUUAUGUACAUCUGUGUGUGGUCUUAUUGAGGAAUAUAAGUUCUUCCUUGUCUAAAAAAAUAAUGAACAGAAACGGCUAGAGUUUCAUUAAUCAUCGUCUUUUACAUAACUUUUCAUGAUGUACGAGGAAAUAUAUCCAUUUGUGCAUAAUUUGCACCACUUUAUUUUCGUCACAUUUAUUAGAAAUCGAGGUCAUAAACCUCGCCUCCGUAUAUAUUCCUUAGAUUGACUUGCAUAGUUACUUCAUUAUAAUGAUUGGUGGUUGAUUACUGAUGGAGAGGGAAGCAACUAAGCACGGAUCCUUCCGCUCGUACAUUUCCUCAUCUUUACACAAGAACAAACAUCUCCCUCGCUCUCUCUCUCUCUCUCUCUCUCUCUCUCUCCC
rnacentral:lncRNA from 1 species